AUUGAACGCUGGCGGCAUGCUUUACACAUGUAAGUCGAACGGUAACAGGUUAAGCUGACGAGUGGCGAACGGGUGAGUAAUGCAUCGGAACGUGCCCGGUCGUGGGGGAUAACGCAGCGAAAGUUGCGCUAAUACCGCAUACGAUCUGAGGAUGAAAGCGGGGGACCGUAAGGCCUAGCGCGAUCGGAGCGGCCGAUGUCAGAUUAGGUAGUUGGUGGGGUAAAGGCUCACCAAGCCAACGAUCUGUAGCUGGUCUGAGAGGACGACCAGCCACACUGGGACUGAGACACGGCCCAGACUCCUACGGGAGGCAGCAGUGGGGAAUUUUGGACAAUGGGCGAAAGCCUGAUCCAGCAAUGCCGCGUGCAGGAAGAAGGCCUUCGGGUUGUAAACUGCUUUUGUACGGAGCGAAAAGGUCUCCUCUAAUACAGGGGGCUCAUGACGGUACCGUAAGAAUAAGCACCGGCUAACUACGUGCCAGCCGCCGCAGUAA
rnacentral:rRNA from 1 species